rnacentral:tRNA from 1 species
UUCUUGGUGGCUCAGAGGUUAAAGCAUCUGCCUCCAAUGCAGGACACCCAGGUUCGAACCCUGGGUCGGAAA